rnacentral:rRNA from 1 species
CAGUAGCCGCGGGAAUACGAAGGGGGCUAGCGUUGCUCGGAAUGACUGGGCGUAAAGGGCGCGUAGGCGGCGAUCAAAGUCAGGCGUGAAAUUCCUGGGCUCAACCUGGGGGCUGCGCUUGAUACUUGGUUGCUUGAGUGGGGAAGAGGGUCGUGGAAUUCCCAGUGUAGAGGUGAAAUUCGUAGAUAUUGGGAAGAACACCGGUGGCGAAGGCGGCAACCUGGUCCUUGACUGACGCUGAGGCGCGAAAGCGUGGGGAGCAAACAGGAUUAGAUACCCCAGUAGUCCCUGUCUCUUAUAC